rnacentral:rRNA from 1 species
GCGUAAAGAGCUCGUAGGCGGUUUGUCGCGUCUGCUGUGAAAUCCCGAGGCUCAACCUCGGGCCUGCAGUGGGUACGGGCAGACUAGAGUGCGGUAGGGGAGAUUGGAAUUCCUGGUGUAGCGGUGGAAUGCGCAGAUAUCAGGAGGAACACCGAUGGCGAAGGCAGAUCUCUGGGCCGUAACUGACGCUGAGGAGCGAAAGGGUGGGGAGCAAACAGGCUUAGAUACCCUGGUAGUCCACCCCGUAAACGUUGGGAACUAGUUGUGGGGUCCAUUCCACGGAUUCCGUGACGCAGCUAACGCAUUAAGUUCCCCGCCUGGGGAGUACGGCCGCAAGGCUAAAACUCAAAGGAAUUGACGGGGACCCGCACAAGCGGCGGAGCAUGCGGAUUAAUUCGAUGCAACGCGAAGAACCUUACCAAGGCUUGACAUAUACGAGAACGGGCCAGAAAUGGUCAACUCUUUGGACACUCGUAAACAGGUGGUGCAUGGUUGUCGUCAGCUCGUGUCGUGAGAUGUUGGGUUAAGUCCCGCAACGAGCGCAACCCUCGUUCUAUGUUGCCAGCACGUAAUGGUGGGAACUCAUGGGAUACUGCCGGGGUCAACUCGGAGGAAGGUGGGGAUGACGUCAAAUCAUCAUGCCCCUUAUGUCUUGGGCUUCACGCAUGCUACAAUGGCCGGUACAAAGGGCUGCAAUACCGCGAGGUGGAGCGAAUCCCAAAAAGCCGGUCCCAGUUCGGAUUGAGGUCUGCAACUCGACCUCAUGAAGUCGGAGUCGCUAGUAAU